UAUACGGGAAUUGAUACGGGAAUUGAUC
rnacentral:piRNA from 1 species